UUCUUCUUUUUUUCUUCUGAUUUUUGGUUUGUUUUUAUGUGAAUUACAAACCACAUCGUGACUUUAGAACAUAGCCCUAACACAACUAUAUAUAUUUACAGCUGAUACGUUCAUAUUGAACGGGGCUAGAAAUGACGUCGUGCGCAAUAUGUACAACUUGAAAAAUAAUACAGAAAACGUCUUGCAAAAGGAAAUAUUGGAAACAGGUUCACAGUUUGGAGAGAGAAAUGUACACAAGAAAAUACCUGCAUUAAAAGAUGCCACAUUAGCAAUAGAAGAAUUACUUCACAAAUUGAAAGCUGCACAAAGAUCUUACUCAAACAAAAAUAGUGGUCGCUUAAGAAGGACAGUUAACCAAAACGGAUGGUGGUGGUUUUGUCCCUGGUGUGGCGGAAGUAAAGUCAUUAUCACAGAUGAUUGUAAAUGCAGUCCAAACACGAACAAUUCGUGCAACUGUCCAAAUGCACGUGUACGUAAUGGUGAUUUGAGUAAUAAUUGAUGAUACAGGUAGAAUUCGACAUUGUGAGAUUUUAGUACAAAUUUUCAGUUCAAUUUCUAUAACUCGGGGUUUCCUGUGGACAAUGAAGUAAAAUUUCAGCUUAUACAUGUACAUGCUAAAUAAAUGCAUUAAAGAAUAGUCUAUUAACUUAGAAAGAGUUGUUAUGUGAUUGAUAUAUCUCGUUUGACGAACUUGUAUGUCAUUUGCUCCGAAAGUAUUUCUUUCUUAUUUCAAAACUUUUAGUCAGACACAUGGAGGGAAAUAACUUUCUAUUCAUAAUCACCAAUAUCUACAUGAGUUGUAUCCCUUUAAUUGAAAAAAGUAACGCAUCAUGACCUGGUACGGAUGAUAACAACACGGUCAUCUUGUUGCGGAUGCGCAGGCUGGUCUGGAUCCAUGCUGGUCGCAAACCCAUUAUGUAGGUUUUGUCGUGACACGGCUCAUUUAUCGGAUUGCACAGUUUUUAGAUAUCCAACAUUUGUAUGAAACAGGACUGUUCAUUUGUGUUGAACAGAACAGCGUUCUCAAGUGUCUGUACAAAUCUCCUUUCAAAACCCGACCUGUAAUACGAGACUUCACUAAAAUGUGUGUAUUUUCCGGAAAUUGAAUAAUGACUGAAUUUUAUCUAUAUAUUGCAAACCCAAACACACCUCAUAUUUCAUGUGUGAUUUAUGAGUGACUAUAUCAAAUGAAUAUUGUAACGUGCUCCACAUUCAAGACAAUACACUUUGCGUUCUGUAUGAUUCCGCUUUGCCUGGUUUGAUUGCUAAUUACUAAAGCCUACUAGAAUACAAAUAUUGGCAUUGUUACUGAAAUUAGGUAUAUAGAAUAAGACAGAAUGAAAUGAAUGUAAAACAAUCCUUUAGAAAUAAGCUAAACUAAUGUAGUAUUUUACUUACUAUAGGAUAUUGUUUAGUUAUAAAUUAGAUAUACAUGUAUGCUUAAGAAUAUGAAAUAUGUAUGGCACCUGAGAUCUUCCUCUACCAGUAAAGUAAGAAAGUCGCCAUAUGACCUAUACUGUGUUUGUGCAACAUAAAACCCAACAAACAAACAAAAAUUCAGCCAUUGCUCUUAACUUUACAUGCUGAGUUUGUGGAAUGGAUGUUCCCUGUUAUAAAACUUGAACAAUCCAUUUGAAUUAUGAAGAAUUCAUUAACAAAAUACAAAAGGGAUCAAUUUAAAUGAUAAACGUUUUUAUUCCUCAGUUGCGUCCGUCGUAUCAUGUGGGAGGUAAAAUCCAAUUCAACUGAGAUUAAAAAGCCUAAAACAUAAUUUUGAUAUUUUUUUUACAUAAAUCAAGUGGAGCAUUUAAAAUGGAAAAAAUCUGUACAAAAUAAAUAUUGUCAGAGUUGAAUUGCAAAUCUGUAUGUGUGCGCUUCUUAGCCCGAUUUAUGUGAAAAAUGUUGCAACGCUUUUCAAUUUUGGGCUAUUUUGUACAAAGAAAAAGAUUAUUCUAAAAAAGCGGUGUGAGAGAAUGAUCUAAAAAUUUGAACACAAGUUAUUGAUUCAGACCAAUAUCAAAUGGUAUACAAAUCAUGAAAAAAUAAUUUCAGUGCCGGCAUGGCGGAGUCCCUGUAAGGAUAACAGACCCUAAUGGGCACCAAUGUUAAUCAGCUUGUUCUAUUCUUUUCUAAAUAAAAUAAAACAUUUCAUUUUUCAAACAUGCCACACCCUCUCUUAUCAUUUUUGGCCAAUUUUCAAUCACCAAUAUUUAGAGGAAUUAAUUUGCAUAUGAAAUAAUUUUUGGUAGAUAUUACUUUUGUUUUUAUUUUCAUUUUCAUUUUGAACCAAUACAUUUUUACAAAGUGACUUACAGUAACAAAUGACCAUAGCUUUCAACAAUAACCAUCUUAAAUAAAUGCACGCAUACAGUAAAUAUAUAUAGGACCAAAUCUUAAUUGACAAAUGGAACAGCUGUUAUUGUUUGAUAAUGUUGUUUAGUGUGUGUAUUUUUAUUGUUUAGAAUGCUAUAUCUAAAAUUAAGAUAUGUUAUUUGUGGUUUAUGAGGGUGUUUCAUCAUGUGUUACCUUCUUUAAGUAAUUAUUAUUAUUAUUAUUAUUAUUAUUAGUGUUGUUGUUGUUAUUGCAGUAAAACAGACUUCCCUUUGCACAGGCUCACGAAUAAUACUUACAAACAGUGAACUUGUGUCGAAAAUAUUAAACACUUAAAUAAAAAAAUAUCUGCAGAUAAAUAUAUAUGUAAACAAGUUGUAAAAAUAUAAAACACUUUUACGAACUUUACGAAGUUUUUGCUAUAGCAGCUUGAUACAUACUUUUUUUGCUUGGUCAGAGUUUCUAACUUGCGUUAUAAAACAUCAUUUAUAUACCUUUUUCUAUUUUUUUAACACAAUCAUUCUUUUUUUUACACACAUUGGCUUAUUCCUUAAGAAAAAAUGUUAACAUCACUAAUAAAGACACUAAAAAAAUUCAGUUGUUUGGACCGGGAUUCGAACGCCGAACGCUUAUACCCUAACUUUGGUCCACGAACUUCCAAUUUCAGGUAAGGAAAAAGUCAGAAGCAAACCAAACGAUUCUUUAUUUAGAAUUUUAAUUAAACUAAAGUGAUAAAAGUACACAAAUCCACAUUAUAAUCACUAUUCCGUGUAAGUGGGAAGCUCCUUUGUUUUUGCACUGUAUAUUUGGGGGCAUACUAACAUUUCAAAAGAGAGAGAAAUGUGCCCAGAUUUACGAAUAUUAUAAUGUAUCUAAAUUUUAAAUAUUGAAUUAGUAUUUUUAGAUCCAUAGUGUAAGCCUGAACAAUAAUUUUUCUCCAACUACAACACAUGUAUCGUAAUUCAUACAUUGUACUGCAUAUUUCUCAUUCUCUACCUCCAAUGUUGUCGUGUGCCACCAUUUUUAUAUAAAUGUUUAUGUUUUUUUUAAACUCAGCACAAAUGUUACAAUUAUAUAGUAGAAUAUAGAUGUAGUCAUUUUUUCACUA